GGGCGGGAGCGAGCGAGCGGUUCGGCGUGUGCGGUUGAAGGCUAUCGGGGGGCCGGCUCGUUCCCUUCUGUGUCGGGCUGUCGUUUCUAAACACGAGUAGUGGAAAUGGCCACAAGAAGAAGGGAACCUGAUGACGACCGCUAGAAGGCUGAGAAGGCGAAGCCCGCGAGCUAAUUGUAACUGUGACAUACCUUUCCCUAAAGAAAUUAUUGCACAAUACAACUAGAACUCAAACUGGAUGUGUCACUGCUGAGAGCAUACCUGACUGCAUUUGCAAUUUCUACUAACCAAGUGUCCCACGCUUCUUCAGCUCCCCAUUGAGUGAGUAGCCAGAAAGGGCAUGAAACAGCAAGAGCUGUGACAUGGUGUACUGGAACAAAACACGUGGCAGAGAAAAUUGAUGAAGAAGAAGAAGAAGAAGAAAAAAACGUAUUUCAGCAUGUCCUUGCCUUUUGAGAUUGUUGGCAUGAAUGCUGCGGAUGCCAGAAGCUGUGUAAGAUUCGGAAAGCAACAUGACAAUCAAGAAAGAAAAAUCUCUCAAGUGCUGGUAUUCACAUCGACAUCACCAAGCCAUCAGGUGGGACUGCCUUGAGAAAGACUCUCUGCACACCUGCACUUUUCUCACACCAUACUAGGGAUCUGCAGCUGGCCUGGACUAUGUGUGUUCCUCCUUUGGGGUCUCUAGAUGCCAUUUUGUUGUGCAGUUUGAUGAAUCUCAACAAAAACACUUCAUUAAAACCUUCUGGCAGCUCUCUGUUCCUGUAGCUCUGGGCUGAGAAAUGCAAAUGCUGAAACGAACCCUCAGCUCAGCUGAACUCACAUGUCCAUAAAAAUAGCAACCCCAUAGCUGUGUGCUCAGACCUGCUGCCUGGUAGCAGCAAGGAAGCUGAUUUUAAUGUCAGAGGUGCAAAUUAAACCAGAUGGGAACAAACUGUGAACUAUAAAGCAUGCAAGUGAAACUUCUAAACAUCCCAUUGUGUAAGGAAAGAGCAGACAGGCCCUGUGGGCUGGGCUGCUUUGGAGAUCCCUUGGCCGAUGGGGUCCCAGAGGCCAGUGCCUCACCGUUCCCUGCACUCUGCUGGCGGAUGGGCUGUGUAAGAAGCUUUAGCUUCUCCUUAUAGCCCUUGUCUUUCAAGAAAAGCAUUGUUGGCCUUGGUUUCUGCUAGAGGAAGGCUCUAGGUGACACUCUGCUCUGAGCCGAAUAUGUGGAUGCUAGCAUGAGGCUCCUGGUGCUGUCCUUCCCCAGCCCAUGACGCAUCCUGAGUGCAGGCCCCAGGGCUGCACAUAUCCUCAACCUUUCCAUUCGUUUCUAACAACAUCAGGGGUUGCCUCUGUAUGUAAAUCAUUCUGAUUAUUGCCAUUUUAUUGCAGCACCAUCUGCUUGCAUUGUGCUUUGCGGCUGUAAGGGUGGUGCUGCCACAGCUGUGUGUAUGGAUGUUUAGGUGUUCUGUGGGGGCCAGGGAGCCUGACCUCUCUGCAGGCAGAAGCCCCAGUGGGGGGCUUUCAUUGAUGUGGGACAGAGCCCAUUGUACCCAACAUCCUAUUAGGCAAGCAGACCCACAUAGUGUAGAUGUUUCAGGGUGCCGAACUGAGACAUGUCACAUACCAAGACAGAGAACCUUCCCAUUCUGAUGCCUGAUAAAUUAUUUACCACAUCUCAAGGAUUUAGCAGGACAAGGGCUGUAGCAGGCGAAGCAUCAAGUGUGCUGGAAAGCGAGGUGUGAGGGGAGAAAGGAAUAAAUCUGUUAAAAGAUCAAGGCUUUGUAUAUGCAGCAGAAAUAAUAUUUCAGACCUGCAGUAACACAUAACUUUAAACUGAACACAGUGUUUGAGCUUCUAAUGUAUCCGGUUGCCAUGUUUCUGCUAUAUUUGCUUUGUGUUGAAGGAACACGGUCUGAGAGUCCAAGCCAAAUCUUCAGGUUUAUAAAACAAAAGGGUGUUGUUGUUUUUUCUUUAUUUCAACUAAAUAUCACAUCCGCUGCUUAGUUUAAACAUUCUUGCUGGGCCUGGCAAUAGAAACACAGCCAUGUUUUCUGAUCCACAAGAAGGACAAAGUGACAAAGGCAACUGUGUGGCGCAGCUGGCAGAAAGAAGCAGCCAUCCCGGUGCAGCCCUGCCACCAGCCACCCGUGCUCUUGUCAGGAACAGGGAGAAGGACAUGAGGUGGUUGAACACAGCCACGGCUUUAGCUUAUCCUUGGUCUUUGAUAGUGCUUUGUGUAUCUCAAAAUGUAGCCUCCUUGCAGAAGUUCAGCUUAGUGAUGGGUUGCAGAGCCCUGGUCGGGCCUGGUGUCUGUCAGCGAGGGGAGGAAGGCCAAGUUUCCCAUCUGCGUAUUUAACAGUGAUUAUCUGUGGUGUUUUUAAGAGAUUCUAAAGAUACUUUUUAAAAAAUGUUUUCUCCCUUGUCUGAAGUCUUGAAAACUUUGAAGUUGGUCCCAUCCUCAGGGAACGGGGUCCAGCUACAGCAGGACGGGAGCUGAGGAAGGGACGAGAAGAGAGCCCUGCUACUGGAGUGGGAUAGCCUACAGCUGCUUGCCAUGCCCUGCCCCAAGCCAGAGGCCUGCAGCAAGGAGAUGGGCAAGAGGGGGGAUCGCUGCGAUGGCAGCACUCUGCAGCCAGUUCCUAAUGAAUCCCAUGCGCACUGGUGGAACAGUGAGGGUGAAAGCUGCUGGGAGAGGAAGGCUCAGCGGGAGCAGGUGGUGGGAGCAUUGCCUGCGGGGCUGCCAGCUCCUCAGCUCGCGAGCAGAUGGCACAGGGAGGGCAGAGAGAGCAAGGUUUGGCUGUAUCUUAACAUCCACUGUCGGGGACGUACAAAAAGCACUACAGAACUAAACCAAGGUGAAUGCCACAUGCUGUGAUUUUCCCUUGGGUGCAUUUCCUUGAGUUGUCACAUCAGGUACAGUGCAGGCUCAGGCUCUGUAUACACCACCAGGCGAGAUGAGCCCUACGCUCCUCAUAAGUUUGCCUGCCAACAAGCAGUGGGAUGCUCGUUACACAACACUGCAGUUUUUAGAGCAGGAGGCUGGUGCUCAAACCCACCCAUCGCUGGGCCCUGCACACCUCCCUUGUUGUCUAUGGGCUCAUAUUUUCCACUCAGUGCACCCAUAAUAAACACAGUGUGCAGGCCCAGCUGGACAGCCAGAUCCUCCACAGCAGGAUGUCUUUCUGCAAAUAUUUGGGGAGGUGUGUUUCACUUUGAAAUGCCUGGUGUGAGACUGGCCUGGGGCUGGCUGCAUCCUCAGAGCCACAUCCCACCUGCCUCAGGUAGAUACAGUAGAGCUGCAGGCACAAAACUGGCAAAAAGCUCGGUUGGGAUUAUGGCAGUCAUAAUUCUUAUCAUUUUGUAUGUCCCUUUUGAAUAUAUCCUGGGGAAGCAAAAUCUACAAUGGGGGAGGAACAUUUGUAGAAAUAAAGCUAAUUGCCUGGUGAGGUGGUGGCUUAGGGAAAGGGAAGGGGAAGGAAGGGAAUGAAAGGGAAAGGAAAAGGAGGAAAUUCUGCCUCUACCAGCACCAGGUCCCAGAAUGUCCUGCUGGAACAGCCACAAAUCCUGAGGAAAAUGGUGUCAUAAGAUACUCCCUCUUAGUCCAGAAAAAAAAUCCAUGUACUAAGCUAUACCACACCCAUGGAUGUGAUUCUGAGAAUUUUACUGAAUGGUAAGGCAGCAGCUUCCCUGUGUUUCCUAUAGACCUUGAUCAACCUGCAACAAAUGCAGGACGUGGCACAGCAAGAUGGGAUUUACAUAUUGAAAAUCCAAUUUCAAAAGGUUAAAAUAUGUGCUCAUUAGCACGUGAGCCUGAUGGACAAGUUUGUUUAAUGCAGUAGUCUACAAUGCUCUGAAAAAUGCUAAGGAUAGGUUUCACUGCACUUAAAACAUUCUUAAAGGUGCUAUGAUGUGCGUGUGUGGCCCUGGGCAACCUGGUCUAGUAUUAAAUGGGGAGGUUGGUGGCACUGCCUGUGGUAGGGAGAUUGGAGAUUCAUGAUCCUUGAGGUCCCUUCCAACCCAGGCCAUUCUGUGAUUCUGUGAUUCUGUGCUAAGAAGUUUUGCUGAGUCAAACCUGAGGAAAGGACUUUGUAAUGCUGUGAUCAGCAUGUUAUGUAUACAUGGGGAGAGCUGUCAAAACUUAGGAAGAUAAAUUGCUUAUAGGUUCAAAAAGCAUGCCUUCCAUUUAUAUUUUCACAUAUAAAACAGUGUCAUAGCAGCAAUAGUUAAGUGAUAAAGCUGUGGUUCAAGGCAGCUCAGCAAGAAUGAAUAAAUCUUCAUAAUUGACAAGCCGUAAUAAUAAUAAAUAAAUGAAGAGUUUAUUUCUCCCUCUAUCCUGUUGAAAAAUGAUUACGUGGGAAUCCUUACCAGCAGCUGGGCCUUUUCUAAAUGACUACCAAGCCAAUCCACUCUGCAACCUCUGCCAGCUCCAGCAUCUCAGUAAUUAUAAAGGUUGUCGCUAAUACUAGAGAGGACAGAUGCUUCCCCUAGGAAGUCCUGUCUUCAAUUCCUCUGGUAUCACAGCUAUGCUGUGGCCUGAUGUGCUUUGAUUGCUUCUACAACCACCUGAUAUGUUAUCAGUGCUCAAUAAACACCAUGGUCGUGUUGAGGUGAGAUAUAAGAUAUGAAAUAAAAAUGCACCCUCUGUUUCAUUUUUGUGCUUACAAGAUACUUAUUGUACCACAGCAUGGCAAAGGCAACAUGUUUGCUGCUGUUCCAAAUUUGUGUUUUACCCUGAGAAAUGAGUUCAUUGCUAUUUGCUAUAUUAAAAAUACCUACAGGAAUGUGGCAGGUCACUAAAGGGUGUUGGCAAAACUGCAAGUACUUUGCUACCUUUAAAGGGAGUCUUCCCAUUCUAAGCAUACGAUUUAUGAUCAUACAUUAUUCUGGAUUAGCAAAGAAGAUAAACAGAGUUGCUGGCUCUGGUCUCAGCAAAGCUCAGUCCUCAUGAAGCUGAUACACAGCAGCACAUUAGUGCCACUGACAUCGCUCUCUGCUUGGCUGAGCUAUUUGUGACUCCGAUCUUUCCAUCCAUGCACAGUGCCUGAAGGAUAACAGUGGCCUAUCUGCUCUCCUUCUUGGGAAAAUGCAAGUACCUUCAAAUUUAAACUGUCAGAAGUCAACCACAGGGUGGCUGGCUCAUUGAGCUAGAGCAACUCAGGCACAUAAAAGGCUGGUGUGGCUCACGUUGCCUUCAGCCACCUCCGACCCCUGGAGCCAGAUGUGCACUGAUAGGUAACAGGGGAAAGACAAGGAGGAAAUGAAGCAGAGCAGUCACUGGCUCAACUUUGGACCCAUAAAAUGUGCAUAAUUUGUGUUGCCUCUCUCAACUUUUAGGUGAAACUUUAAAUGUACUUGCGUCCUUCCUAAAGAAACGAGGGACUGGGUGAGGCAGGAAUAUCCUCAUUUCCCUUUCCUUGUCCAAAUAUCCUUUGCCCCAAGGGGCUGCACAAUGCCUGUCUGCAAGGACAGCUGGAUAAUGUCCACAUACAGCACUGUGGGGAGCAUUUCCAAAAGCAGCCGAGUGACAUAGGUGCUAGUAUCAUCUUGCAAGACUCAUGCUCCUUUGAAAUCCUCCACUCCGCAUGACCAAAGGCCUUUAAAUAUUUUUAAAGCCACUCCAGAGGCACAUCAAUAUUUGGGUAGAGUCAGCCACGUUUUAGACAAAUAAAACUGCUUACAGGGACUUUCAGAAACGCCAGAGAUCAGUGCAGGGUGAUCUCUCCCCUGAAGGCUGUUUGAUCUUGUUGAUGUUUCAACCCCUCUUGCCUCCUCCCCGGGGGCCCCUGCAGUUAAAGCAGUACCAUGAGCUGUGGAUGCAUGUCAGAACAUUUGAAUGUUCCCAGUCAGCUUCUUCUUUCUGAAACUUGCUCUGGCAGCUGCUGCACCAAGGCUCCCCAUACACAGGCUCAGGACAAAUGAACCCCUACCUUCACUCUCUUUAGACAAUCACCUCUUCCUACUAUUACAUUGUCUGGUACUAUGUAUUUUUUUUCUUCUUGUGCAGACAGCAGUAUUAAGCCUGCCAGAGAAUGAAUGAAUAUCAAUAAGACAGAACACAAAUGGAAUAUGGAGCACUUCUUGCUAAGUUCUAAUGAAAGUGCCUACAGGGAGGUGGCACACUCAGCAGAUCACAUACAUACACACAUCAUUUUGGGACUCAUCCACUUUCACUGAAAAAUAUCUCCUAUGUAGGCAAUUUCCUAAACGUCCAUUCAAGUUAAUGUUGUAUAUAUUCUCUAGCAAUUGUAUAUAGUAACUGACUCCUCUCUCUUAGAAAUGAAGUUGUAGCCAGAGCCCUGGGAGGGGAAAAGAGAGACCUGUUUCUAAUGGAAGACAGAGAAAGAGAGACCAUGUCUGUCCUGUAAUCCACCAGAUUGUCCCUCCCAAAUUUUCUGCUUUCUCUCCAUGUGGCUUUCCUCUCUGGGCUUCCCCCAGAUGAGAGCAUUACAGAGCAUUGACUCCAGAGGCUUACAUUUCCUGAACUGCCGUUGGCAAAACACAGUGCUCCUGUUUAUAGGCAAGCAACUGCCAGACCCAUGAGGUCCAGGGCUGUUCCUGGGUCUCUUCCUGCAUCUCUGCCUCUCACUUCUCCCUGAGCAUCUUCCUCAAUGCCCAAGCUGCUGCUAUCCCUAUUAGUUCUGCACAGCCAAUCAUAGAACAGCUACAGGCUGAAAAUCCAUCCUUACAGCUAAGGGUUGCUACUUGAUGGGUGCUUGGUAUGUAACUGCCUUCUCUUCUCCAGCUAUCGUGGUUGCCCUGUUUUGGGGUGCAUCCCUGGGAGCAGACAGCAGUGAAAUUUUUGCUUCUGUCAUGACUGAAGACCUUGUCUUCCCUUCAUCUUCACACUAUACUCUCUAAUCACCUGAGAGCCAAGCA